GGAUUAGAUACCCUGGUAGUCCACGCCCUAAACGAUGAUAACUAAGUGUUGCAUUUGAUGCAGUGCUGUAGCUAACGCGUUAAGUUAUCCACCUGAGGAGUACGGUCGCAAGAUUAAAACUCAAAGGAAUAGACGGGGACCCACACAAGCAGUGGAUCACGUGGUUUAAUUCGACAAUAAACGGGGAACCUUACCCAGACUUGACAUCUACCGAAUCUUUUAGAGAUAGAAGAGUGCCUUUAUUGGAGCGGUAAGACAGGUGCUGCAUGGUUGUCGUCAGCUCGUGCCG
rnacentral:rRNA from 1 species